AUUGAACGCAGGCGGAAUGCUUUACACAUGCAAGUCGAACGGUAACAGGUCUUCGGAUGCUGACGAGUGGCGAACGGGUGAGUAAUAUAUCGGAACGUGCCCAGUCGUGGGGGAUAACGUAGCGAAAGUUACGCUAAUACCGCAUACGAUCUAUGGAUGAAAGCGGGGGAUCGCAAGACCUCGCGCGAUUGGAGCGGCCGAUGUCAGAUUAGGUAGUUGGUGGGGUAAAGGCUCACCAAGCCAACGAUCUGUAGCUGGUCUGAGAGGACGACCAGCCACACUGGAACUGAGACAAGGUCCGGACUCCUACGGGAGGCAGCAGUGGGGAAUUUUGGACAAUGGACGCAAGUCUGGUCCAGCCAUUCCGCGUGCAGGAUGAAGGCCCUCGGGUUGUAAACUGCUUUUGUACGGAACGAAAAGGUCUCUCCUAAUACGAGGGGCUCAUGACGGUACCGUAAGAAUAAGCACCGGCUAACUACGUGCCAGCAGCCGCCGUAACAC
rnacentral:rRNA from 1 species